rnacentral:tRNA from 1 species
UCCUGGUUAGCUCAGUUGGCAGAGCUCUCCACUGGAAAUAGAGAGAUCCCUGGUUCAAUACCAAGACCAGGCG